CAUACGCCUGUCUCAAAGCUUCACCCAUGCAUGUCUAAGUAUAAGCGAGUAUACUGUGAAACUGCGAAUGGCUCAUUAAAUCAGUUAUGGUUUAUUUGAUGGUACCUUGCUACUUGGAUAACCGUAGUAAUUCUAGAGCUAAUACAUGCAGGAGUUCCCGACUUCGGAAGGGAUGUAUUUAUUAGAUAAGAAACCAAACCGGUCUCCGGUUGCGUGCUGAGUCAUACUAACUGCUCGAAUCGCACGGCUUUACGCUGGCGAUGGUUCAUUCAAAUUUCUGCCCUAUCAGCUUUCGAUGGUAGGAUAGAGGCCUACCAUGGCGUUAACGGGUAACGGAGAAUUAGGGUUCGAUUCCGGA
rnacentral:rRNA from 1 species